rnacentral:lncRNA from 1 species
GGCUGCUCUCUGCCUACGGGGCGGCCCCGCUGCAGGAGCAGUCAGGGAGCUGUGAGCUGUGGCACGGCCGCCUGAAUAAAGCUCUUUCCUUCUACCUGCGGCUUGCCCUUGAAUUCCCUCCAGGGUAAAGCCAAGAACCGUCGGGGCUCAGCCCCACCUGGGGGCUCCCCUGCCCCGCACCACCGAAGUCUUGGAUGGGUAACUGGAAGAUGCCAUUGUGAAUAGAAAUAUCCUUUCUCGAUGAAUUAGAAAAUGAAACCAACUCCUGCAUUAAUUUUACACAAAUGACAUCAAGAGGGUUGAGAGAAGAAGGUGGCUGUCCCCAGCUCCGGGUCCCUGCCAGCCUUAUGAUAGUCUUCUAAGGCCAUCUAUUAUUUCCUGAAAUAUUCAUAGAAGUAUGAAAAAUUGAGCAUGAGUGGUUUGCUUUGUGCUUCGUUAUUUAUUAAGCUUGUGACUUAUUUUUCUUUUGGCGAAGAGCUUCCUAUCUUUUCCAAGAAAAAAAAAGUGGGCCAGAAUAACAGCCCUCAUGUUUUGAGCUUGAAAUUAAAAUUUCGAAGACCUCCCUGUACAAAGUGAAGCUGAGUAAAGAUGUUUACAAAUGCAGAUUGAAAAUGAAAAAUGCAAGGGCCUUUGUGACUCAUUUUAUGAAUAUGUGUUUUUAUCAAAGAACUCCCAUAAGUUGACUCGGAGCCUGAUUUGCAUCUAGGGUUUCAUCCUUGCUUGGUGGUGGACUGGCCGUCCCUUCAUCCCUUCUAUAAGUCCAUUAACAUUCCUCCCUCCCUCCAUCUGUCCAUCAACAUCCCUCCCUCCAUCCAUCCGUCCAUCAACAUCCCUUCCUCCAUCCAUCCGUCCAUCAACAUCCCUCCAUCCAUCCGUCCAUCAACAUCCCUCCCUCCAUCCAUCCGUCCAUCAACAUCCCUCCCUCCAUCCAUCCGUCCAUCAACAUCCCUCUCUCCAUCCAUCCAUCCAUCAACAUUCCUGGCACCUGCUCAGCAUCGGGGGGGCAUCCCAGCCCUCACAGGGAGCAGGCACAGUAGGUACAGGUAGAGGCUCCCUGCCUGCUCAGCCCCAGGCCGCUCCUGAGAGCACCCCCAAAGCCACAGGUCACAGCACAUUGCCCCUGAUUUUACCCCAUUAGGAGAGGGAAGAUGUGCCCAAGGGGACUGGUGAGCCACAGGGAGGCGGAUUCCUGGGCUGCAGCUUAAAACAAGACACUUGUUCCCUCAUGGUUCCGGAAGCCAGAGUCCAAGAUUGAGGUGUAGGCCUGCGCUCCCUCAGAGCUGCUCGCUCCAGGGAGAUCCCUCCUCGGCGCUUCUGCUUCUGGUGACUCCGGGUGUCCUCAGCAUCGCCCAGCCCCACCUCCAUCUUUGCAAGCCUCUCCUUUCUCCCAUAAGGAUGCCAGGCACCGGAUUUCAGGCCCAUACUAAAUCCAAGAUGAUCUCAUCAUGAUAUCCUUAACUUUUUACAUCUGCGAAGACCCUGUUUCCAAACUGGUCACGUUUGUAGGAACCAGGGCUUAGGACUCGAACAUAUCUUUUGGGGAGACAAGAUUCAUCCCCCAUGAGCAUGGGUUCAGAGAGCAACGGCUUUAGCACUACCGAGGUCUUAAUCCAAGCUUCCUGUCAGGAUUUAAUACAAGGGAGGCUGAACUGCCGGGGAGCUCAGAAAUGCACGAGCAAGACAUGAGCGUAGGGGAGGUUCCCGGGGUGCCUCGACUGUCCAGGCUUGCAGCUGCAGGUGGAGAGGAGGCAAGGCUGUUUGCCCAUUUCAGCCUCAGAACAGUCACAGCCCAGCAGCCGGCGGCCUGUCCAUGAUGACCAUUCUGCUCCGGAGCCUACACAGAGGGCACUGUUCACCCUGCGGCCGCCUCCCUGCGCUCCAAGGAUCAGCCUCAUGAUAAGGUCAGAAAGAACCUUGGCUUUAGGGUCUGUCCCGCGUGGCCACCUGUUCUGUAUGUUAAAACCGACUUGCCUGCCAUUUCUCUUCUUAUCCCUCACACCCACCCACCCAGCCUGGGCCAGGCCUGGUUCUAGGGCGCGGCCAACGGUCGGGGACAAAAUAUUCAUGGUUUCUGGGUUCGUGGUCAGGCAGUUUGGGUGGACACAAGCAAGUGCCACGUAAAAUAAGCAACGGUGAGAAUGGUUAUGAGUCGCAAUGACACUGUGAGGCACUUUAACAGGCUCAUCGGCGUGGCCCUAGGCCCUGCCCUCUGUGAGCCCAGGUCACCCCCAGGACGCCCAGCGGCUGCUGCGCCACCUCCCUCCUCCCACUGUGGCCAGGCCUGGCGGGCGGGUGCUGCCUCCCGACACGCACACUUUGCCGGGGCAGGUCCGCGCCAGCGCCGUCGCCAGAAGAGCCUCACAAAGACGCGGCUGCCACCGUUUGGCGUCUUUGAAGACUGUUCAGCAGGUCUGAGGAUGAGCUGCUCUGAGGGUUUUUCCCAACUUACCAUUUUGAUACAACGUCAAACAUAUGUAAAAGUCACAAGAAUACGACAAGGAACUGCCAUUAGAGCCUUAGGCGAAUUCACCAACUGUUCCCACUUCUCACCGGUGUCACCUUCCCACCGUUCCCACUCCUCACUGGCGUUACCUUCCCUCCGUUCCCACUUCUCCUCAACGGCGUUACAUUCCUGCGGUUCCCACUUCUCACCGGUGUCACCUUCCCACCGUUCCCACUCCUCACUGGCGUUACCUUCCCACCGUUCCCACUCCUCACUGGCGUUACCUUCCCUCCGUUCCCACUUCUCCUCAACGGCGUUACAUUCCUGCGGUUCCCACUUCUCACCGGUGUCACCUUCCCACCGUUCCCACUCCUCACUGGCGUUACCUUCCCUCCGUUCCCACUUCUCCUCAACGGCGUUACCUUCCUGCGGUUCCCACUUCUCACCGGUGUCACCUUCCCACCGUUCCCACUCCUCACUGGCGUUACCUUCCUGCCAUUCCCACUUCUCCUCACGGCGUUACCUUCCUGCCGUUCCCACUUCUCCUCAAUGGUGUUUCCUUCCCGCCUUUCCCACUUCUCACCAGCGUUACCUUCCCGCCAUUCCUACUUCUCCUCAACGACGUUACCUUCCCUCUGUUCCCACUUCUCACUGGCGUUACCUUCAUGCUGUUCCUACUUCUCCUCAUGCCAUUACCUUCCUGCCAUUCCCACUUCUCCUCACGCAUUACCUUCCUGCUGUUCCCAAUUCUCUCUGGCGUUACCUUCCUGCUGUUCUGCCGUUCACGCGUGUUUAUAUGUGUUUGCAUGUGUUUACAUGUGUUUGCAUGUGCCUGUGUCUGCAUAUGCGCAUUUCCCUGAAUCGACGGAGGUUUUCCAGCUCUGGCUGUGACAAUGUGGAUUACUGGUGCCAUUGUUAAUUUUAGGUCCAUUUGACUGGGCUAAGGGAUGCCCAAGUAGCUGGUAAAAGAUUGUUUCUGGGUGUGUUUCUGGAAGAGAUCAGUGUUUGAAUCCAUAGACCGAGUCAAGAGGGUCUGCCCUCCCCAGUGUGGGCAUCAUGCAAUCUGCCAAGGACCUGCAUAGAACACAGACAUGGAGGACAGGAAAACUCUCUCUGCUGGAGGUGGAACAUCUCUCUUCUCCUGCCUUCAAACACUGGCCUCGGUGAUUCUUGGGCCUUCAAACUUGAACUGAAUUACACCGUGACCAGCUCUCCCUGUUCUCCAGCCUGCAGAUGGCAGACCAUGGGACUUCUCUGCCUUAAUAAUUAUGUGUGCCAAUUCCUAUAAUAGAUUUUCUCUCUCUCCAUCAAUAAUCAAUCAUGUAUCCAUCCAUCCAUCCAUCCUUCCCUGUCUCUCUAUCUUUCUAUCUAUCAUCUAUCUAUGUUAUGUUUAUCUAGAGAACCCUGACUAAUAAAAUUGGUUUUGAAUUUCAUUCUUUAAAGCAGUUAAAUUAAAAUGAAACAGAAAAGACAUUUCUCGUAUCUUCACUAUCAAUUUGAAAUUUUUUUUAAUCUUUCUGUUUUGACCCAGUUUAUUCAGAAGCAUUUUUCUUAAUUGCCAUGUAUCUGGCAGGGCAGGAGACUUUCCUGGAUAUCUUACUGGCAUUGAUUUUUAAUUUAAUUCCACAGUGAUCAGAGAACACACCAUACAACUUCAAUGUUUUGAAAUUUAUUGACACUUGAUUUUGGCUCAACAUAUCAACUAUUUUGGCAAGUUUUCAAUGUGUACAUGGAAAGAACGUGUAUUCUGCAGUUAUUAGGCGAUGUGUUCUGUGAAUGCCAUUAGGUCAAUGUGGAUUAUAGUGUUACUUAGAUCUGUGUCCUUACUGCUUGUUUUGUCUACUUGUUUUAUCCAUUAGUAAGGGAAGAGUGUGAAAAUAUCCAACUAGGUUUGUGAAUUUGUAUAUUUCUCAUUUUAAUACUGUCAGUUUUUGCUUUAUGUAUUUUGAAGUGCUCUCAUUAGGUGCAUACACCUUUAUGAUUCUUAUGUCUUACUAAUACAUUGACCCUCUAUCUCUGGUAAUACUCUUUGUCUUAAAUCCGUUUUGUCUGAUGUUAAUAUACUUACUCUGGGUUUUUAAUGUUUUUGUUGACACUUUAAUCUUUUCUCAUCCUUUUGCUUUCUCACUAUGUCACUUUGCAUUCAAAAUAUGUCUCUCCUAUAAAUAGCAUAUAGCUGGGUUUUGCUUUUUUAUUUUUAAAACUUCAGUCCGAUAACCUCUCCCUUUUAAUUGGAGGAAUUAGUUCAUUUAUACUUAAUGUAAUUAUUGAUAAGAUUGACUCUAUGUCUAUCAUUCUGUUAUUUGCUUCCCUUUGCAUCCCUUCUAUUUUUUAUUCUCUGUUCCUUCCUUCCUGUCUUUUAAAGAGUUAAUUAAAUAUAUUUAAUCUUCCUAGUGCUUUUUCACCUCUGCUUCUUUGCACAAGUAUUUUAAUGUGUGCUCUUAGUAUUAGAAUAUACAUGCUUAACUUUCCACAGUCUACUUAGAGUUAAUAUUGAGCCACUUCUCAAAUGUGAGGACCUUACAACAGGGCAGCUCCAUUUCCCACCCUGUCCUUUGUGCCAUUGCUUCAUAUAUUUUAAAUCUACUUACAUCACAAACUUCAAAAUCUGUUAUAAUUUUUAUUUGAAAUAGUCAUAUGUCUUUUAAAGAAUCAAGAGACUAAAAAUACAAUAUUUUAUAUUUGCUUAUGUACUUGCUGUGUCUGGUGUGCUUCAUGUCGGGUUUGAAAAUCCAGUUUCCAUCUGGUGUCAGUUCCCUUCAGCCUAAAAACUUCCUUUACCGUAUCUUAGAGCAAAAGUCUGCUGGUUACAAAUUCUUUAAAUUUUUACUUAUCAGAAAAUAUUUCUAUUUUGCCUUUAUUUUUUAAAAGGCUGUAUUUGCUGGAUGUAGAAUUUGGGGUUGAAGGGUCUUUCCUUCAUCACCUUGAGGACAUUGCUCUCUCUCCCGAGGGGAAGAAGUUGGCUGUCAUUCGUGUCAUUGCUCUCCUUGGUGUGAUUUGUCAUUUCACCCUGGCUGCUCUAAAGAUUUUUCUCUUUGUUUUUGGUUUUUAGGAGUCUGGUGAUGAUGUGCAGUUAUCAUGUGUAGUGUUUAUUCUGCUUUGGAUUUGCUGGGCUUCUUUAAUAUAUAAAUAUAUGUUUUCAUAAAACUUAGGGCCGUUAUUUCUUUAAAAAUGUUUCCACCUCAUUGUCUUUCUUCUCUACUUCUGGGACUCCAAAUACACGUGUGUUAGACACUUAUAUUGUUAAACUCCAUUUAUUUUUUAAAAUCGUUUUUUCUCUCUGUUCUUCAAAUUGAAUAAUUUCUAUUGGUCGGGUUUGGAGUUGCUGAUACAUCACUGGGGGUCCCAGGUGUGCAGGGGCAAGGGCUGAGCUGGAGUUGGGGCUCCAGUCAGGAUGAUGACUAAACCUCAUUCCAGAUGGGUUCACUCAUGGGAGCCGGCGGGACCCCUUUCAGCUCCCAUUUGCAGUCAGGGCUCUUUGCUGCAGAAGCACCUGGGUGUCAUCCAUGCCAGUCGUCCUGGGACGAAGUGAGCGGUGGCCACUGUGCCAUGAGUGGUGCACCCUGCUGCCUGGGGUGGGCACGACGCCCACCGCUCGGCCCCCACUGGGCCUCAGCCCCCAAGGCACCCACGCUCCUCUGUGAGGGUCACCCAGCCUGCAUGGCAUCGUUAGGCUGCCCCAGGAAGGGGCAGGGUGCCCUCAGAGCUGGGACCCCUGGAGUGGCCAGCAGCAGCACUGGGGGACUGACCAGGGCGGGUCGGUGCUCAUGGCAACCACUAGUACCCGAUGGCUCCCUCCAUGCUCAGGAGGAGGGAGGAGCUCUGCCCGGCUGAGAACAGCCUGACUCUGUUGCACAUACCACAAUUCCAGGGUCAGGACGCCUCCUCCCCACUAGCUGUGCUGACCUGGGAGCAGCAGGUUCGGCCCUCACCCCAGGUAGGACGUGCCCCCUCCUUGAUAUGCCCACUUCAGCGAAUCACGUGUGGCCUGAGGGCUCUGCUCAAGGGCCCUAGCCAGGAAACAGCCUGCUGGGAGGCCAACCAGGUGCCCCCACACCUGUGGUGGACAUUGACUCCCUCCAGGCGGUGGCUGAGGGCAGCCCCAGCCAAGUCUGUGCCAGCCGAGGCUGCUGGGGACCCUUCCUCUCCCCCUUCCCUGUUCUGUUCUUCCUUCCCACCCUUCCUCCUCCCUCCCUCCUUUUCUUUUUUUGGGUUUCACCUUAGACUAAGUAAACACACUGGCCUGAAUUAUGUAAGCCCCUCUUGCAGCCUGGGCAGAUACAUUUAAAAAUAAAACUUGUCAGGUGUUGUUACCUUCCAGCCUCCUCAAAGCUGAGCUCUCCAAUCUCAGGACUAUUUACAGCCACACCAGCAGCAGUGCUGACUCGGCACCACAGGCGCGGCCUCUUGUGGGGAAGGAGCAGGGACCCUCCACCGUGCUUGGUUUCUUUCCCCACCUUCCUCUCGGUGGGGCUGGGAGUGGGGUGAUUUGGAAACACUCAGAGGGUUUAGACAUGAAUGAGUCUGGUCGAAUUCCCCACUCUGGACAGCGAGUCCAGGCACUGCCUGGCGGUCUGGUCGGGGUUCCUGGGGGGAGGUUCAGAGCAGGGUAUGGCAGGAGCAAGACCCGGGUGUCUUGUGUCCCCGAAAGGAGCAAGAGGAGGCAGCAGGAAACCCGGACGGCGCUGAGCGGAGGCCUGGGCGCACGUCCUGGAGGAAGAGGCAUCGUUACCAGGAGUGCCCGAGGCACAGUGCACAGAUGGGCUGGUACAGGGUCCUGGGAGCACUGCGGGACCGGGCAGGGCUCUGCUGAGCCUCAGGAGAGGGAGGGCGCUGGUUCCCGCAUCCUGUCCCCCUCCCCUGGUGAUCUGCCAAGGGGAGCAGCCCAGGGAGGGGGAGCUGGGAGUCAGGGAGCGCUGUCCUUCAUGAGUACAAAUCCAAAUCCCAGGCCGGCUCCCCAGGAGCAUAGGCUGCAAGGACAGGGCACCAGCUGUUUAUUUGGGUCAGGACUCAGGGGAGGGGGAAGAUCACCCCAGGAGCAGAGCUGUCCACCCACUUGGUCCCUGGAUCCCCCAGGUCCUGGAGGGCCUGACCUCAAGGAACUGACUCUGCCUGGGCUGGUAGGGCUCUGACCCCUGGCUUCCGUGCGGCCAGAGACCGCCAAACACGAGUGAGGGGCAGUUUAAUUGUCUGCUGUGGUCUUAAAAACCAGGAGGCCCAGAGUCGCAGCAAUCGGCCGUGCUUCUUUAGAGGCCCCUCCCUCCGCCUCCCACAGGGCAGCCACUCCAGCACCCCUUUCAGGUUCUUCCCCAGCCCAGGCCCUGCUCCCUGGCCCUCCCUCUUGCUACUGGUUCCCGACACUCACGUUCCUCCCACGGGACCACGACUGAGACAGCACACGAGGGCCCACUGUGAGUAUCUGGGGCCCGUUUUAUGCACAAAGAGCCCGGCACUCGCCAUCAGAUCCAUCUCCUACCUGCUCUAAGCCACACUGCCCUCCUGCCAGGCUGGUAGGGUCUCUGGGGCUGGGCUGGGUAGACGGGGCUGCGCAGCUGGAGACGUGCCCACCUCCCUGCCUGUGACCCCAUCCAGGUGCCCUGACUCAGGCACUGGCGACCAGUCCUGAGGUUGCUCAGCACAGCCCCUCCCUCACCGCUGCCCCCAAGCCAUCGCUUGCCAGAGGCUGGCUUGCUGUCUUCACGGCUCUGGGAAGUCACUUCGGAGAAACUGACCUCUGAGUGGGAAAGUGACUCACUCGCCGAGGUUCAGGACGGACUCGGCGGCAAGGGCGUCUUGGAGGGAGGUCUCGAGUGCCAGGGUUCUCCUCUCAUCUCCUCCCAUCCAGCACCGUGUACUGAAGUUGCCUGCCUCUUUCCUCAUGUCAGGGACAGCCCCGUCCCCCAGCACACAAGGAUGACAGUAUGUCCUGGUAGCCAGCGAGGCCCAGAUCCCACACCUGGCCACACGCACCAGCGUGGCCUCCAGGAGAGGGUGUGAGGUCUCCUCCGGCUGUCCACGGUGGGCCCAGACAUAGGAUCUUCCCCUGUGGGGAGGACGGGGGGCAGCCCACCCUGGGAAGAGGGGUGAGCCACCCACAGAGAAUGAGGCUAGGCCCACUUGGGCCUGAGGGCAUGGCCUGCACCCAGCUGGGCAGGCUGGGCAGGGGCAGACUGGAUGGGAAUGGGAGCUGAGGCUGCCCUGGAGGGGUUGGAGCUGUGCCCACUGGGGAUGGAUGGACACCCCUGGAUGACGGACACCCCUGGAUGACGGACACCCCUGGUCAGCCAGUGGCCCAGCUCAUGCCCCUGUCCGGAGGCCCAGCCCAGCCCAGCACACACAAAGCCAGGCGUCAGGGCUCAGGCACAGAGCACGGCCAUGGCCAGAUGUACCCGGGCCCCUCUGGGGAGUGUGCAGGGGCCGCCCGGGGUGGGCUCUGGGUGCCGGGUCCUGCCUCGGUGCUGAGGACAUCAGCCCAGGUCCCCACUGCCCUUGACCCAGGGGGCUGACACCCCCCAGUGCAGAAAGAAUGGCCCAAGGGGGUUGGCGGGGGUGCUCCAUGGAGAAGGGGCUAUCUGAGCCCCUCAGGCACCCUCUGCCAGCCAUGCCUGCCCUGAGCGGCUGCCCUGCAGCACCUGGACUGUCCCUUUGGGACGGGCCUCGGUCCCUCUCCCCAGGGGAUUUGCUGUACAGCCCCACAGGGACGCCCAAGGGAUCACUAUCUUUGUGGCUGGAGGAAGAAGACACGUGUGGCAGUGGCCAUGUGGUCUUGUUGGGAGUGGCCACCUGCCCUCCUGGGGUCUCCAGGCCAGAGGCCAGGCCACAGGCCAACCAAGGACAGCCUGGCCAUCCGGCCCUAGCCGGGCUGGACCUCCUGUGUGGAUUCUGAAAUCCACCGGCUUCCCAGGGUUGUCAACCCCUGGGCUCUCGCUCCUGUGGGGAUGGGUAUUUCCCUCUCUGGCGAGACAUUUCCAAAUUCAGAGGCUGUGGUUUGAUGGCUGGGGUCCUGUGGUGCCGGGCUGUGCCUUCCAGAGGCGCCAGCUUCAGGCUGUGACUGGUGACGAGAAUCUAGGUCAACCCACGCCGCUCACAGCCUCCUUCCAGCGUGUCAUUGUCCCAGCCUCGUCCACACACAGCUCCCCCAAAACCCUGCAGCGUCAUUUCUGUUCUGACUCCAGGUGGGCUCUGCCGCUGCCUGUGAGAUGAGGCCAGAUCCUCGCCGCCCGCACCUGCCUCUCCCCAACUCGCCCUGCGCGGGACAGGUGGACGCCGCCCACACCUACCUCUCCCCCACUCACCCUGCCCGGGAGAGGUGGACGCUGUCUGCACCUGCCUCUCCCCAACGCGCCCUGCCCGGGAGAGGUGGAUGCCGCCCGCACCUGCCUCUCCCCCACUCUCCCUGCCUGGGAGAGAUGGACGCCGCCUGUGCCUGCCUCUCCCCGACUUGCCCUGCCCAGGAGAGGUGGAUACCAAGCAUGUUCUUGGCAACUUGCUGCCCACACACGGUGCGGUCCAGGCUGCAGCGUCACAGCCCUGGAGCCUGCUGGGAGUGCACAGCCCAAUAGCCACCCCAGCCCCUCUUCGAGGGCAGAUUCCCAUCAGCCUGAGCUGCCUGCAGGAUGAGUACAGGGGUCCCUCCGCAGGGCAGAGCCAGGAGCUGUGGAAAUGCUCUUUGCAGAGGCCCCACCUAGAUGCCCCACGGGGGUGUCCCCUGGCUGAGUCCACAGGGAGGGUUGAGGCUGCCUCGGCCAUGUCUGCGGCGCACGUCCCCGGUGCACAUCCCCGGCGCAGGCUGUGUCUCCUCGCAGCCCCAACUGACUUCCUUUCCUUCCUGUGGUCUGCACUUCCACCAUCCUUACCCCCUCCUUAUCCUCAGAGACACCUCCUGACACCCUCCUCCAUGCUCUGCCCUGGUUGGGAUGCCUCUUGGGCUGUUCCGGGCCCCAGGCUAGAGCCACUGCCUCUGUUUCUCUGGGUGAGUCCUUGCCCUGCUGCAGGAAACCUCCGCGUGCUGUCUAAGAAGUCGUGCAAACUGGCCAGGCCUGGAAGGGCUGAGGCAUCCUUUCUCCCUGAUGGAUGGUUUGCGUGAGUAUAAAAUUCAAGGCUGGAAGCCAGAUUCCUGUGGAAUUUGGAAGGCCCGGCUCCAUUGUCUUCCGGCUCCAGCGUUGUUGAGGCGAAGUCUGACGUCCAUGCAGACUCUGAUUCCCGUGUGGGGACAGCCCUGGGGUCCUGCCGUCCUGGGACAUCGCUCCGGCACCCCUACGCUGCUUCUUGAAACGUUUCUGUCGACUUCCCACCUCCCGGGAAUUUGUUGAAUCUUUUUUCUGUGAAUGCCAGUUCUGUCUUCCUCACGGCUGGUUAAUUCCCUUCUGCUCCUUAACUGUCAUCGCAUGGGGUUAAUGAGAGGAGGAGAGAAAACGUCUGUGGUUUCGUUUUCCUUCCUGGAUUUCGACAAUGUGGAUGCGUCCUUGGGGGAAAGGUGGGCUCGGGAUCCAGGCAUAGACCGUGCGGGGGCCUCUCCAGGAGCCAGUGUGGGGGAGUCCAGCGCAGCAGGGCCAGGGCCAGGUGGGGCAGAGUGAAGACACCAGGGCACCGCGGGGCCAGUGAGUUUGUUGCCUCAGCUGAGACAAAGUCUCAGCAAAUCAUCAGUGUUCCUCUUCUGUGAGGUCUUUCCACGCACCAGGCCAGGGUGUCAUCACCAGACCCCUCCGGUGCUGAAGGAUCUCCCCGGAAAAUAGAUAUUAAUUGCUUUUCAAUCAAUGUAUUCCAUGUGUAUCAAUAUAUUCCACAUGUAUCAAUAUAUUCCACGUGUAUCAAUAUAUUCCACGUGUAUCAAUAUAUUCCACGUGUAUCAAUGCAUUCCACGUGUAUCAAUGCAUUCCACGUGUAUCAAUGCAUUCCACGUGUAUCAAUAUAUUCCACGUGUAUCAAUAUAUUCCACGUGUAUCAAUGCAUUCCAUGUGUAUCAAUGCAUUCCAUGUAUAUCAAUAUAUUCCAUGUGCAUUAGCUUUCUGUGGCUGCUAUAACAAAUCAGCAUAAACUUAUGGCUGAAACAACAGUCACUGUCACUGUUUAGUCCUGGAGGCCAGAUGCCUGACAUGGGACUUGGUGCUGUGAGCCCUUCCUUCUGGGGGCUCCAGGGGAGAAUCUGGGCCCCUUCAGCUCCUAGAGGCCACCCAAGUCCCUUGUCUCACAGACCCAGUCCACCUUUCAAGCCAGUAUCUUCAAACUUCUUCAGCACCUUCAAGCCUCUCCCUGACUCUGAUCCCUCACCUCCCCUCUCACUGGGAUGGACCCUCAUGAUUACUCUGGGCCUGCCCGGAUGGCCAGGGAUGACCUCCCCGUCUCAGGCCAGUGGGUGGGUAACCCUCACUCCCCCUGCAGUCUUGGGGAUGACCUCCCCGUCUCAGGCCAGCAGGUGGGUAACCCUCACUGCCCCUGAAGUCUUGGGGAUGACCUCGCGUCCCAGGCAGUCUUGGCUCCCUUUGCCACAUAACCUGAUGCAUACCCAGGUUCCCAGGAUUAGUAGGUGGGCACCUUGGGGGCUGUUCUCUCCGAGGCCACACAGUAACGGCAGAGAGACCAGGCAGAUACCCUCUUACCCUGGUGGUCGGAGGCGCGGUCAUCAGCCAGGGAUGGGUUGGCCUCGUGCGCGUGCCCUGCGCGGUGCUGAGAUCAGCCCAGCACGAUGUCUAGCAUGUUCUGCCCGAAACACACGCCUCAGAAGAAAGCGCCAGGCAAACUGAAGGACGCGAAGCCGUGGGCCGGCCUGCCGAGAUCCUGAAACGCAGGCAGAGCCGAGACGCUCUUCAGAGCACGGGUGUGUGGCGGCCGAACACAGCACCUGACCCUGGGCUUAGUCUUGGACUUCUGGAAGAAACCGCGGAACUGGUGCAAUCGGAGUGGAGCCCAUGGGGUAGGUGUUGCCAUUGAGCCAACGCUGGUUUCCUGCUGUGAGUGAUUUUGCUGCAGUUUUGUGUGCAGCGUCUUUUUCUCAGGAAAUACUCACUGAAGUAUUUAGCAGUAACAGGCAUCUGUUGUGCUUGCAAGGAAGUUUCAGGUGGAUCAGAAAGGUUAGCAGUGAAGGAAUCUAGGUGAAGGGAUGAGGGAGCUCGCUCUGCUAUUUCUGCAACUUUUGUUAACUCAGCAAAAGAGUUAAAAGACGAGUGCAUGUUAGGAUGAGGGGCCGGGGAAAAUGCCCCCGCGGGUAAACAGCCCCGUCAGGGCAGGGGCUCUGUGAGUUCAUUCGCUUGUUCACUAGAACAUUCCUUGGCUGAAGUAUUUACUGACGCUAACAUCACAACAAAGACAAGACAAGAGGAUGCCACAUACAUCCUGAUGGAGGCGCCUCCGACCAAAAGCAAAGAACCCGGAUGUGCCCCAGCCUCGUUCCAACUAGCAGUUCCCACAGAGACGCGGGGCACGGAGACGUCCCACAGAGAUGCGGGGCACGGAGACGUCCCACAGAGACGCGGGACACGGAGACGUCCCCCAGAGACGCGGGGCACGGAGAUGUCCCCACAGAGACGCGGGGCACGGAGACGUCCCACAGAGACGCAGAGCACCCAGGGCAGCUACAGGAUGUCCUCAGGCUGCACGCUGGCCUCCAUGGCACAGAUGGCCCAACAACUUUGAUCAAUUGCAAGGAAAAGCAGAAACGGAGCGGGCAGGAUAUCAAAAGAGGCAUCAAAGACACAUGCACUCUGUGGGAUAUUUUGACCCUGAGUCGAACAAAUGAACCCCAGGUAGCAAAGGUAAACAACAAUAAAAUCAGACGUAUGGGGCAGUUAUCAAUAUGGAUCCUUGCAGGACAUCGGAUGAUAUGGAGGGUGCACUGUUACUCACCUUAGGUGUGAGGAUGGUACCAUGGUUAUAUAUCUGAAAAGUGUCCACAUCCUUUGGAGAAACAUCCUGAAAUAUUUACAGAUGAAAUGAUAUCAUGUCUGGGAUUUGUUUUAAAAUAAUCCAAUUUACUGUUACUGUCUUAGUUUGCUUUCUGUUGUUAAAACAGAAUACCACCUAUGGGUCAUUUAUAAAGAAAUGAGCUUAUUUCUCACAGCUCUGGAGGCUUGGAAGGCCGAGAGCGUGGUGUCUACAUCUGGGAGGGUGGCCCCGCCAUGUAGACGGAAGGUGGGAGUGAGCAGAGGCACCAGGGCUGGACUCACUUCAUGACCACUCAUUCCAGCAAUAACACCGAUCCACUUGUAAGGGCGCCACCCUCACGACCCAGUUACCUCUUUUUAGGCCCUCUCUCCCAACACUGUUGCAUUUGGGAUUAAGUUUCCGACACCUGAACUUUUCGAGGGACACACUCAGAUCAUAGCAAGGAUGAAAAGCCAGAUGGGCCUGGCUGAGGAGCUGGAAGCCACUGAUGCUUGGUGAGCUCUGCAGCCACUCUACUGUGCACGUGUGGAACUCUCCAAAAAACACAUGAGCAAGAACUUAGAGGAAUACUUCUGGAGUGUGGUUGGAUGUGAGGGUCCUUAAUCCACGCUGAUUAAGAUGCUGAUGUCUUAGUCAGCGCUGAGUGGAGACGCUGGUGCUUGCAGAGGUGGUUGGAGCCCAGAUGUACUAAGAAAGAAGAGGGGCCUCAGCGUCCUCACCUGCAAGCUGGGAAUAACUACCCAGCCCUUCAGGGCCGUGUGAGGAGCUGCCGGAGCAGCAGGUGACAGCUGCCUCACUGUGAGUUUUCCUGGCAGCUCUCAGCCUGGGUACCAGGAAGGCACAGGUGUGCUGGAGGCUUCCUCACCUGCAGUCCUGCUCCAACACUGUCCAUGAUGCUCCCACCAAUAAGAAAGUUUUCUCUAGGAUCCCAGGAAAGCUGUUUUCUUUUUUGUUGUUGUGUUUGCCAGGGCUGAUUUUCAACUCCCUUUAUUAAUGUCUUUUUUCUUAUUAAUUUAGAUUCUGCAGGUCAGUAGCAACACCAUUUGAUGUUUUGACAUUUAAUCAAAACUGGCAGGUUUUCUCCGGCGUCAAAUGCAUGGGGUCUUGUCAGAGAGCAUGUUCGUGGGUUCAUGAUGAAUUGCCCUCGUGACGGAGGGUCGCCCUGCGUGAACACUGGUUUCAUAAGCUCUAAGGACUGUACCGGUCAAGACUGAUGCACCCUCAGGGCUGGGAUCCUGUGCUGGGCCCAUGGUGAGUUCCAUGAAGGGUUAAUCUUUUCCAGUGCCCACAGGUGCUUUUCAGCCCAGCCCUGUCCUCUUGCGAAUUCACCUCGUUGAGGUAACCUGAAGACCUGUGUGUCCUGGACUCAGCUCUCCUGUGGACACAGGUGUCUUCACGGCAUCUCUCACCCAAUUUUGUGCCUGGACGUCCUGCCACUGACCAUCACCACAGGGAGCACAAAGAGAAGGUGGAGGUUCUCCAGCCUCUCCGGCCUCCUGGUCUCCUGGGCAGCAGGUGCAGGAACAGAUACGCUGGCCUGGGGGAGAGCAUGAGUGUGGAAAGGAGAGCCUGCAGCUCUUAACAGCAGCGUGGGCUCCAGAGGGCAGUUACUGGUCAGCUCUCAAGAUGCUUUGACCAUAAACGGAAUUGCCUGGCAGUUGGGUUUAACUGCUCCGUCUUUGUGCAGCUUUUCCUACACACUUGAGAGGUUAUAAGAGACACUUCACGCCAAUUUAUUGGAUUUCAGCUUGCAGCCAACCCCAGCCAGUGACACUGUUUUUCUAUUAAGGACCUGUGGGAACGAAGUCAACACUAAAUAAACGCAGCCAACAGGAGUAUGUCACGAAAGGAAAUUCCAGAGUUCUGUCUCUAAUGAGGAGGAGCAAGUACCUGGCGAGUGCCUGGUGAGAGCCCGGUGAGUGCCCGGUGAGUGCCUGGUGAGUGCCCGCAAGUGCCCAGCGAGUGCCCGGCGAAUGCCCAGUGAGUGCCCAGCGAGUGCCCGGUGAAUGCCCAGCGAGUGCCCAGUGAGUGCCCGGUGAAUGCCCAGUGAGUGCCCAGAGAGUGCCCAGCGAGUGCCCGGUGAAUGCCCAGCGAGUGCCCGGUGAGUGCCCGCAAGUGCCCAACGAGUGCCUGGUGAAUGCCCAGCGAGUGCCCAGCGAGUGCCCGGCGAAUGCCCAGUGAGUGCCCAGUGAGUGCCCAGCAAGUGCCCGGCGAAUGCCCAGCGAGUGCCCAGCGAGUGCCCGGUGAAUGCCCAGCGAGUGCCCAGCGAGUGCCCGGUGAGUGCCUGCAAGUGCCCAGCGAGUGCCUGGUGAAUGCCCAGUGAGUGCCCAGCGAGUGCCCGGUGAAUGCCCAGCGAGUGCCCAGCGAGUGCCCGGUGAGUGCCCAGCGAAUGGAGGCUCCUCGGGUAACACGCGUGGACCCAGGCACAAUACAAAGUCAACCGCCCGGGGCUCUAGAGCAGGAGAAACAGGCAGUUUCUGGAGGGAGAGUCAGAGCUAGAAGCAGCACCCGGCCCAGGCGAGGCUUCUGUGUGUGGCUUUGCCAGGAGGGCAGCACUGCCUGGGGUUAGUAAGACGCUGGCACAAAGUCACCACCUCUGGGUAUGGAGAACACAGGUGAAGAUACCUGGGACAGCCAGGGCUGCCAGUGUGUGAGUGUGUGAGGAUCUGGGAAAGGAGGAAGCAGAGAAGUGGGAGAGCAUGUUCUGUCCGCAACCCUUGCUCCAGUUUCCGGCUGACCCUGGAGCCAUGCCAGUCUAGGCAGACGGACAGUUCUGAACAGAAACCGAGCUGCUGCCCACCAAGCUGCUGCUGCCAGCCCCUGUGGGAAACGCAUCAGAGCCCAGAGGAGGGGCUCAGGGGUGCUCAGGGGGUGAAGGGGGCCGCUGUGGGCUGCCUGAGAAAAGCGACCACAUCUGGGGCUGUGCCCCCGCCCGACAAGCCCAGUGGGAGCUUCUCAGAAACAAGGUGGGAAGCCUGCGCAAUCCUCUCCACCGCGCUCGGGGCAGCGGGGACCAGGGCUUCCCCAGGCUGGGGCAUGGCAAGGCGGGCAGUCGGGCAGCAGGACGCCCAUGCCCUGCCCACCUGUCCCCACCUGUGGGAGCUGCUGGCCCUCCCCACCCAAGGCUGCCCUCCUACCAGCAGCACAAGAGGUUUGGACCAACGCGUGUGCGCUACUUUCUAGAGCAAAAUUUCUUUGAACUGAGAUUUUAGAACCGAGGUGGAACAUGGGAGAGGCCCUGGUGGAAGCAGGAAAUACACGAUUUGCUUUUCACAACUACGCGUUAAUGAAUAGGGCAGCCCACCUCCUGGUUUGCCCCGGAAUGCCCAGUUUCAGGCCUGAAAGUCCCACGGAGCAUCUCCCAUCCUCACCCUCGGCCUGGAGGACAGAGGCGCGUCUGGCUGGUGGCAGCCGUCAGGGCUUUGUCAAAGCGGCGCUCAGAUGGAGACAACGUCUCGUCAGGUGCCACGAUGGGUCUGUGUUGUGCGAGCAUGUUGCUUUAGGCUGCCUUAGGCCGCCCACCUGAUUCUGUCAUUCUGUUUCGGAACGGCCCUCUAGACGAGCUGCAGCUUCGAGGGUGGCUUUCGCACUCUGCUGUCAGUGGCUGAACGGCUUCAUUGUGAAAUGCUGAAGUGAUUUGUAUAAAUCAUGACCAUGGAUUAAUGAGGUUCAUUCCUCCCAAACCUUCAAGAAAUUGUUACUGUUCCUGAUGUAUUUGAUGGCAAUUGGCUCCUGGAGAAGGGAGGGAGAGGCGGGUGUCUCUACCCCGUUUGCUAUAUUUUGUGGGGAUUGUGGGGGGCCUGGCUGGCACCAUAGGGGGCUGGGUGCCCUGGGCUGUGAACUCCUGAUGACAGGAGGCGCCUCCCUCCUCACCAGGCCUGGAAUGAAACCCACGUGGGCAGUCCCACGAGCAACACGCCAGCGCCCCAAGGCUGGCCACGGGCAGGACGCAGAGACAGACGCGUCAUUAGAGCAUGGGCGCGGCGUGUCCGUGGCACGUGAGGCCCCGGGCCCUGCCUUUGCUUUCGGUCUCUGUGCACGCUGCCUCCUGACCUGAUGGUCCAGUUGCCUGCGGAAGUAGGUCUGUGCACAGUGGACCUUUUAAAAGAGACACGAAACCUGGGAGGGCCUGGCCUUCCCUCUGUGCGCUGCUGCUGUUUGUCUUUUUCCUCAGCUUCCCGUUGUUCGAUGGAGUGGACUCCAGGCAGCUGUCCUGUGAGCUCGACACAGCCAGGCUGGAGUUGGCAGAGGUGCAGAUAGGGCGGUGAUGCUGAGAGCCACGAUGUCGUCAUUGAAAUGAAGUCAGGUGGACCCUCUGGACCCUCUGAGUUUCCAGCCUAGGAGCAGUGGCGUGUUCUAAGGACGGGCUUCCCCUCCUCCCACCCUCCAGCUCCCAGCGCCGCCUGUAACCCUCCUCCCACCCUCCAGCUCCCAGCGCCGCCUGUAACCCUCCUCCCACCAUCCAGCUCCCAGCGCCGCCUGUAACCCUCCUCCCACCGUCCGGCUCCCAGCGCCG